rnacentral:ncRNA from 16 species
AGAAGAUCCUGGCUACUGACGGAUAUGUGGAGGAACCACAGGAAACCAGGAUUCAUAUUGGCCGACCGUCUGGGCAGCAAUG